GAUGAAGAACGUAGCGAAAUGCGCUACGUAAUGUGAAUUGCAGAAUUCAGUGAAUCAUCGAGUCUUUGAACGCACAUUGCGCCCCCUGGUAUUCCGGGGGGCAUGCCUGUCCGAGCGUCAUUGCUGCCCUCAAGCACGGCUUGUGUGUUGGGCCUCCGUCCUCCUCCCGGGGGACGGGCCCGAAAGGCAGCGGCGGCACCGCGUCCGGUCCUCGAGCGUAUGGGGCUUCGUCACCCGCUCUUGUAGGCCCGGCCGGCGCUUGCCGACACAUCAAUCUUUUUUCCAGGUUGACCUCGGAUCAGGUAGGGAUACCCGCUGAACUUAAGCAUAUCAAUAAGCGGAGGA
rnacentral:misc_RNA from 1 species